rnacentral:misc_RNA from 1 species
AAGUCGUAACAAGGUUUCCGUAGGUGAACCUGCGGAAGGAUCAUUACCGAUUUUUAGCGGACCUGAUCUCUUUGAUCAUGGUCUCGCGAAAACUUGUAUUUAAAACCCCACUCUUAUAAAUUGAAUCAUUUUAUAUGUAUAUAAUAAAUAAAGAUCACUUUCAACAACGGAUCUCUUGGCUCUC